rnacentral:tRNA from 1 species
GGGGUUGUGGCUCAGCGGUAGAGCGCUCCCCUAUUACGGGUGAGGCCCUGGGUUCGGUCCUCAGCACCACA